CGUAGGGUGCAAGCGUUAAUCGGAAUUACUGGGCGUAAAGCGUGCGCAGGCGGUUUUGUAAGUCUGUCGUGAAAGCCCCGGGCUCAACCUGGGAAUUGCGAUGGAGACUGCAGGGCUUGAAUCUGGCAGAGGGGGUAGAAUUCCACGUGUAGCAGUGAAAUGCGUAGAGAUGUGGAGGAACACCGAUGGCGAAGGCAGCCCCCUGGGUCAAGAUUGACGCUCAUGCACGAAAGCGUGGGGAGCAAACAGGAUUAGAUACCCUGGUAGUCCACGCCCUAAACGAUGUCUACUAGUUGUCGGGUUUUAAUUAACUUGGUAACGCAGCUAACGCGUGAAGUAGACCGCCUGGGGAGUACGGUCGCAAGAUUA
rnacentral:rRNA from 1 species